UACGUAGGGUCCGAGCGUUGUCCGGAAUUACUGGGCGUAAAGAGCUCGUAGGUGGUUUGUCGCGUUGUUCGUGAAAACUCACAGCUCAACUGUGGGCGUGCGGGCGAUACGGGCAGACUGGAGUACUGCAGGGGAGACUGGAAUUCCUGGUGUAGCGGUGGAAUGCGCAGAUAUCAGGAGGAACACCGGUAGCGAAGGCGGGUCUCUGGGCAGUAACUGACGCUGAGGAGCGAAAGCGUGGGGAGCGAACAGG
rnacentral:rRNA from 1 species